UUACUUUAUGUAUUGUAACAUGUGUAAGAAUAAUUAAAUGAUAUUAAAACUGGAUUAAUGCUUACAGGUUUCAAAACGUUAAGGGCGUUAAAUGUUGUGCAUGCUUACUUUAUGCACUGUAACAUGUAAGAAUAAUUAAAUGAUAUUAAAAAUGGAUUCAUUCUUACAGGUUUCAAAACGUUAAGGACGUACACAAUUAAUUUGUUUUAAUUGGAAGUUUAGAUAAAUAAAGACUUCAAAAAGGAAAGUUAUGGUGGGUAGGCAAAAGAAGUACAAAUUAAAGUUGCCUGUUAUCACAUAAUUACUGAAGGUAAAGUUCUUAAUCGUAUGACGAAAACGCAUACAAAAAUCAAAAUAAACCAAUAAAGACGAGGGUACUUUUUCAUUUUUGAAAACAGAGCGUACUCUAUAUAUUAACCAACUAGUGUAAGAACAGUUGAUCACUAAAUAUUUCAAAGCCUAGAAAAACAAAAUGGCAAUUAUUUGUUUCCAAUAAAGCCUUUUACUAGUUGAUCCCACAUCAAAUACUGGAUAGAUGUUUUCACUGUUUUUCAAUGCAAUUGUUUUAUCAGGGGAUAAUGCAUUUUGAUUUAGGAAAUAAAUGAAUGAAAAAAAGUCAACUGACAUUUUUAUGCGAGAGAACACCAAAUUUCUCGUUUCAAAUGUAGUUCAACAUUAACGCUUAAAAUCUUAUUAACUUAUACAGUACAAAUUUUAAUAGUAAUGUCAAGAACGCCUUGAAAUAUGCCACAAUCGUGUAUAUGUCUGUGAGAUAAAGCAUUCACAGAAUCGAAUUCCACACAGGAAGAUGAGAAUUGCAGUAUUUGUUUUUGCUGUGUGUAGUUUAGGACUGGUCUCUAGUGAAUCAUGUCCAAACGGAACCAGUAAAGACUGCCAACAUACCAAAUGUCCUGAAUUAAACUACAAACUAUCGUGCAUUGACAAUUUUUGCACGUGUGCUGAGAUUGGACCUACAGUUUGCAGGAAUAAAGAUACAUGUUUACAACAUAGUCCAUGGAACUGUCCACAGAAUCGCCGCCAUUGUUAUGAUAAUGUGUGUGUCUGUGCACCUUCCAUUUAAUGGAGAUACCAAUAAAGGGCCUAGAAUUGUUUGUAUUUGUGCUCUUCGUAUUAUAAUGUACAAAAAGCGUCCUAGAUACUGAAGAACUAAUCGUAUGAAAGCUAACAAACUGACUAAACACCUGGAGUAAGUAUAUGAUGGCACGGACAACCUAUGCUUUCCGAUUUGCACUUUGAUGAAUGGUUCCUUACAUGGCCAAUAAUGCUGUUGAAAAUCAUAGUAAUCUAGAAACCAAAAUUGUUAUAAAAUCUUCUCGAGGGCCCCGGUUUAUAGAAACCCUUUUUUGUGACACCCCUGAAUCAACUCUGUAUCAGUUUGGUUAGGGGCUCUCCUGACACCUGCUCAAUUAUAU